UACGUAGGGUGCAAGCGUUGUCCGGAAUCACUGGGCGUAAAGGGCGCGUAGGUGGUGGCUUAAGCGUGCGGUGAAAGCUCGGGGCUCAACUCCGAGUCGGCCGUGCGAACUGGGCUCACUGGAGCAUAGUAGAGGCAGGUGGAAUUCCGGGUGUAGCGGUGGAAUGCGCAGAUAUCAGGAGGAACACCAAUAGCGAAGGCAGCUCGCUGGGACGUUACUGACACUGAGGCGCGAAAGCGUGGGGAGCGAACAGG
rnacentral:rRNA from 1 species